rnacentral:rRNA from 1 species
AUUGAACGCUGGCGGCAUGCCUUACACAUGCAAGUCGAACGGCAGCACGGUUGCUUGCACCUGGUGGCGAGUGGCGAUCGGGUGAGUAAUACAUCUGCACCUGUCUUUUCGUUUGGGUUAGCCCGGCCGAAGCCGGAUUUAUACUACUUACGCUUUCCGGAUGCAAGCGGGAGACCUUCGUCCCUCGCGCUUUAGCGUUUGCCGAUGGCUGAUUAGCUAGUUGGUGGGGUAAAGGCCUACCAAGGCGACGAUCAGUAGCUGGUCUGAGAGGACGACCAGCCACACUGGGACUGAGACACGGCCCAGACUCCUACGGGAGGCAGCAGUGGGGAAUAUUGGACAAUGGGCGAAAGCCUGAUCCAGCAAUGCCGCGUGUGUGAAGAAGGCCUUCGGGUUGUAAAGCACUUUUGUCCGGAAAGAAAACCUGGGCCCUAAUACGGUCGGGGGAUGACGGUACCGGAAGAAUAAGCACCGGCUAACUACGUG